rnacentral:rRNA from 1 species
CCUACGGGUGGCAGCAGUGAGGAAUAUUGGUCAAUGGGCGCGAGCCUGAACCAGCCAAGUAGCGUGAAGGAUGACUGCCCUACGGGUGGUAAACUCCUUUUAUAAAGGAAUAAAGUGAGGCACGGGUGCCUUUUUGUAUGUACUUUAUGAAUAAGGGUCGGCUAACUCCGUGCCAGCACCCGAGGUAAUACGGAGGGUCCGAGCGUUAUCCGGAUUUAUUGGGCUUAAAGGGAACGUAGAUGGGCUGUUAAGUCAGUUGUGAAAUUCUGCGGCUCAACCGUAAAAUUGCAAUUGAUACUGGCAGUGUUGAGUACAGUUGAGGUAGGCAGAAUUCGUGGUGUAGCGGUGAAAUGCUUAGAUAUCUCGAAGAACUCCGAUGGCGAAGGCAGCUUACUAAACUGCCACUGACAUUGAUGCUCGAAAGUGUGGGUAUCAAACAGGAUUAGAUACCCCUGUAGUC